CCUACGGGUGGCAGCAGUGGGGAAUAUUGGGCAAUGGGCGCAAGCCUGACGCAGCAACGCCGCGUGAAGGAAGAAGGCCCUCGGGUUGUAAACUUCUUUUAUUCGGGACGAAACUAAUGGCGGUACCGAAUGAAUAAGCCACGGAUAACUACGUGCCAGCAGCCGCGGUAAUACGUAGGUGGCAAGCGUUAUCCGGAUUUACUGGGUGUAAGGGGCGUGUAGGCGGGGGAGCAAGUCAGACGUGAAAUCCCAGGGCUCAACCCUGGAACUGCGUUUGAAACUGUGCUUCUUGAGUGCUGGAGAGGCAGGCGGAAUUCCGGGUGUAGCGGUGAAAUGCGUAGAUAUACGGAGGAACACCAGUGGCGAAGGCGGCCUGCUGGACAGUAACUGACGCUGAGGCGCGAAAGCGUGGGGAGCAAACAGGAUUAGAUACCCCUGUAGUC
rnacentral:rRNA from 1 species